rnacentral:rRNA from 1 species
UAAACUAGGGAUAGAUACCCUAUUAUUUGAAUUGUAAAUUAAUUAUGCCUGAUUAUUAGUAGAUUAUUUUCUUGAAAAUUAAAGAAUUUGGCGGUAUUUUAGUCCAUUCAGAGGAACCUGUCCUAUAAUUGAUAGUCCACGAUUAGUUCUACUUUUUCUUUUAGUUUGUAUAUCGUCGUGUUUGAAUAUUUCAGAAGAAUUUAAAUGUUCAAUUUGUUGAAUAAAAGGAAAUGUCAGAUCAAGGUGCAGCUUAUGGAAAAGAGGGAGAUGGGUUACUAUAAAUUAAUUUUUGGUUUAUUGGUUUAAAAGUCUUUAAUAAAUCGGAUUUGAUAGUAAUAUUGUCUGUUUAGUCAAUGUGAUUGAGGCUCUAAAAUAUGCACAUAUUGCCCGUCGCUCUCAUUAAAGUGAGAUAAGUCGUAACAUAGUAGAUGUACUGGAAAGUGUAUCUAGAAAGACAAAUUAUAGCUUAAUAGAAAGUUUUUUAUUUACAUUAAAAAGUUCAUUGUGCAAUUCAAUGUGAUGAUAUGAAUGAAUUAUUUAAUUUUUUAAUGGAAGUAUCCUUUUUUUGAGUAUUCAACUGGAAAGAAUUAUUGUUAUUAUAGAUUAUUAGUAAAGUGAUUGAAAUUUGAAAUAUUAUUUAGUAGUAAAGAAGAAGAAUUAAUUUUUUGUACCUUGUGUAUCAGGGUUGAUAAAUAAUUUGGUUUUUAUAAAUUUUUCCCGAAUCAGAAAGAUUUAAUUAUGGAUGGUUAAAGUUGUUAAAUAAACUUAUAUAAUUCAUGAUUGGGGGCGAAACGUUAUUCGUUUUCUGAGAUAUCUGGUUUUCCUAGAAAUGAAUUUAAUUCUUUUGUUAUAAAAGUUGAUUUCAAUUUUUGAUUUUAGCUUUGUAAUUUAAAAUGACAGGUGGGAUGAGCUUCUUGUUAUAGAACUAAAAAUUUUUUUGUUUGGUUGAUUAGUAUAAUUAGAAUUGUUAAUCUUUAGAAUAAUUUUAUAGUUGAUCUUCUUAUUUUUAUUAUUUAUAUGAUUUUUAGGUUUUUUAUAGGAAUUUUUUUUCUAAUUUUUUAGAUUAAUUAAUAAUGAUUAAAUUAGUAAAAUUUAAUUUGGAUUGUUUGGUCUUUGAAAGGUUUGGUAAAGGAACUCGGCAAACAAAUUUUCCGCCUGUUUAUUAAAAACAUGUCCUUUUGAAUAUAAUUUAAGGUCUAAUCUGCUCAAUGAGGGAUUAAAUUGCCGCGGUAUUAUGACCGUGCGAAGGUAGCAUAAUAAUUAGCUUUUUUAUUGAAAGCUGGAAUGAAUGAUUGGACGAGAAAAUAUCUGUCUCUACUUAAUUUUUUAUUGAAUUUAACUUUUAAGUAAAAAGGCUUAAAUGUUUUAAAAAGACGAGAAGACCCUAUAGAGUUUAAUACUUAACAUUGUUAAAGUUUUUUGGUAUUAGUUUCUUUUAUUUUGAGAGGUAUUUAGUUGGGGUGACUAGAAGAAUAAAUAAACUCUUCUAUUGUUCUUAUACUGAUUUGUAAAUAAUUAUUCUGGGUUUUCCAAGUUUAACAUAAAUUACCUUAGGGAUAACAGCGUAAUUUCCUUUGAGAGUUCUUAUUUAAAGGGGAGUUUGCGACCUCGAUGUUGGAUUAAAAUUAAUAUUGGGUGCAGUAGCUCAAUUAUUAGGUCUGUUCGACCUUUAAAAUUUUACAUGAUCUGAGUUAAAACCCGGAGACU